rnacentral:ncRNA from 1 species
AUAAAGUUUUAUUCUAGCUUAUAUAUUUAUUAUAAAAUUAAUUUACAUGUAAAUUUUAGUUAGAUUUAAUGGUUAUUUUAAAAGUAAUUAAUUUAUAAAUAGUCGCAGUAAUUAAUAUUGUAUUAUAUUAAAGAAAUUUAGAUAUAGUAAUUUAUUUAAUAUUGACAAAAUUUGUGCCAGCAGUCGCGGUUAUACAAUAUAUGUAAAUAAAUAUUAUUAGUAAAAGUUAAUUAAUAUAUUUAUAUAAUAAUUAUAAUUAAUUUUAUUAAGUGAAAUUUUAAAAUUAUAUUAUUUAUUAAUAAUAAAUAAAAUGAAGCUAAUAAAUUUUUAUUAUAGACUAGGAUUAGAUACCCUAUUAUUAAAAUUUUAUUUUAAUUUACUUAAGUAGUAAUAGUUAUAUUCUUGAAACUUAAAGAAUUUGGCGGUAUUUUAGUCUAUUCAGAGGAACUUGUCCUAUAAUCGAUAAUCCCCGAUGUACCUUGCUUAAGUUAAUUUAGUUUGUAUACCGCCGUUAUCAGAAUAUUUUAUUAGAAUAAUAAUUUUCUAAAAUUUUAACUAAAAAUUAUAUCAGGUCAAGGUGCAGCUUAUAUUUAAGUAGAGAUGAGUUACAAUAAAUAUAUUUAAAUGGAAUUAAAAUUGAAAUAUUUUAACUAAAGUGGAUUUGAUAGUAAAAUUAUAUAGAUUAAUAAUUUGAUUAUAGCUCUAAAAUAUGCACAUAUCGCCCGUCACUCUUGUUAAUAAAUAAAAUAAGAUAAGUCGUAACAUAGUAGAUGUACUGGAAAGUGUAUCUAGAAUAAC